UGGCCCUAACUCCUUGCUCUCUACUGGGUUGGUUAGGUAGGAGAAGAUUCUGUACACAUCCCAGAGAUGUGUACAUGUGCUGAGCUUCGGCUCUGUUCCCAGAUAGAAUCCUGUUUCUAUCCCCUCUCAUCUGGGGCAUGAGAGUGUGGAAGGCCAGGCUGGGGAGGGCUGGUGUUUCAUGCAAAUGUCUCUGCUGUUGAUGAGCCCAGCUUGGCUGCAUGUUUCAGCUCCCUGAAACCUCCUUCACAGUCAGGCAGGCUUCCGUCUCCAGUCUUUUAAAACUAUUUUUUUUUCUUUCCUUCACACAGCUUUCUGUCUCCUUCUCUUAGCUUGACGUUGUGUCUGGCCACACAGGCCAUGUGGGCUAUUUUUACUGACAGCAGUCACCAGCCCAUAUGGUUGCCAUUACCACAAAAUGUUACCUUCAUUGACACCAGUUUGCAAGUGAGUGGACGGCGGACAAGGAGGAUGUCGAGUCCACAUGGCCAGUCACAGGGCUCACAGGGUUUGCCUUGGCAGUGAGAAAACAGAAGCUGUGAGAGGCUGACUUUCCCAAGUCUGCGUGACUAGUAAGAAUCCAAGAUGGGAUUCAACCUCAGCUUCCUGGACUUCAGGCCAGAGCUCAAGCCUCAACAUUACGGCUGCCUCAGUGACUUGAAAGAAAACCGGGCAGGGCUUCUUCAAGGACAUAAGCUAGCAGCUCACAAUGGGGCCUGAUGGGACAUGUUGCAUCGAAACUAGAAGUUGGCAUUGAGAUCCAGCCUCACUGUGGCACUACAAAGCUGCCGCCACGUCAGCUGGAUGACACUGAAAUGGACGAGAACAAAAGGCUUUUUCCUGCAGUGUGUAAUGUCCCCUUACCAAGGCCCAGGAGCUAUUGUGAUGCACUGAGCGUAAAGCUUCCAGAGCAGUGAGUAGGUGAAAAGGAGAACUCUGG
rnacentral:lncRNA from 1 species